UACGGAGGGUGCAAGCGUUAUUCGGAAUUAUUGGGCGUAAAGCGUUCGCAGGUGGCUGUUCAAGUCAGCUGUCAAAGCCCGGGGCUUAACCUCAGAGAGGCAGUGGAAACUGAAUGGCUGGAGUGCAGAGCGGGUUGAGGGAAUUCCCAGUGUAGCGGUGAAAUGCGUAGAGAUUGGAAAGAACACCGGUGGCGAAAGCGCUCUGCUGGUCUGCAACUGACACUGAGGGACGAAAGCGAGGGGAGCGAAAGGG
rnacentral:rRNA from 1 species